UACGUAGGGGGCAAGCGUUGUCCGGAUUUACUGGGCGUAAAGAGCGUGUAGGCGGCCACGCAGGUCCGUUGUGAAAACUGGAGGCUCAACCUCCAGCUGUCGACGGAAACCGUAUGGCUAGAGUUCGGUAGGGGAGACUGGAAUUCCUGGUGUAGCGGUGAAAUGCGCAGAUAUCAGGAGGAACACCGGUGGCGAAGGCGGGUCUCUAGGCCGACACUGACGCUGAGGAGCGAAAGCGUGGGGAGCGAACAGG
rnacentral:rRNA from 1 species